rnacentral:ncRNA from 1 species
AAGUAGUUUUAUCCUUGCUUAGGAAUCUUUUUAAUUUUGUUUUAUAUACUUUUUUUGUUUUCUAAAAGAUUAAUGUUGUAGUAAUUUUUAUUGUUUAUUCAAGGGAUUUUGGAAACAGCAAAUUUUAUAUUUCCGGUAAAUUUCGUGCCAGCAACCGCGGUUAUACUAUUGGUGAAAAAGAUUUUUAUUGGUUAGUAGUUAAUAUUUGUUUUUAAUUUCUUUAGAAUUUUUAGGUGAAAUUUAUAUUUUUAUUAAAAUUAGAUUUUUAUACUCUAUGAAACUUAGAAGUUAAACUAGGAUUAGAUACCCUUUUAUGCUAAGUGUAAAAUAAAUACCUGGGUACUAUUAGGUACGGUCUUGAAACCCAAAGGAUUUGGCGGUAUUUUAGUCUUUUCAGAGGAACCUGCCCCGUAAUCGACAAUCCACGAUUUGAUUUACUUAAAUUUGUAUUCAGUUUUUAUAUCUCCGUCAUAAGAAUAUCUUUUUAGAGUUAAUUUUCUUAAUUAUUUAAGAUAAAAAUGUCAGGUCAAGGUGAAGCUUAUAUUUAAGGGGAGGUGGGUUACAAUAAUUUUAGUUAUGCGGAUUUAUAUUAUUAAAUUAUAAUGAAGAUGGAUUUGAUUGUAAAUUUAUUUAUUAAUUUUUUUGAUUUUAGCUCUAAAAUAUGCACACAUCGCCAUAAUAAGGUGAGAUAAGUCGUAACAAAGUAGAUGUAUCGGAAGAUGUAUCUAGAAAGUA